GGAACCCAUUAGGCACUGUACAGAAAUAUGAGACUGGACCCAGCUCUGAAGACAGCUGGCCUGGGAUCUUUUCGAAGCUUCGGGCUGUGAACGUGGCGAGCUGCCCGGGGAGCUGGGGGCACAGGCCACACCCCAGGGUUCCGAGCGUUUUGUUCCCGCGGGUUCAAGGAGCAGCCGGACCCGUGUGCACCCAGAGCCUCGCCGGGCGCGGUCACCGCUGGAUGUGGGCACGAGAGUCACAUGAAGGACUCAACAGGCGAGUUCCCCAGAUGCAUUCCUGUGGUCUGCCGGCUGUGUUUAGUGAUUUAGUCACGACUUCAAGGCUCUAAUUACAGGGUUUUGUUUUUAUUUUUAAGAACAGUGUAGUCUUGACAUGAGCAGUCCCUGCAGUGCACCUUCUCUGCUUUAUCAACAGCCCCUUCCUGACAGACCCGGUGCUGGGCGGUCUGCACACCCUGACACUCAGAGACCUCGGGUUUCGAGGCUGCGAGGCUCAGCGAGGCUGGUUAAACCCCUACCUCGUGUGUAAGCCUCAUCCGAGGGAGUGAUACUAGAGGCCUGAGGGGGAAGGCUGGCUGUUAGCUGGGUUAGCGCUUUCUGAGUCUGUUUGGUUCACUGUAUUUACCGGAUUUUAAUAGGAGUUAAUUUAUGUGGCUACAAGGCCAGUGAGGCUAUUAUCUUGUACUGGGAAAAGCUGCCAUCACCCAACUAGGGAGUGUAGCUCUAAACGUCUUCCUGUGCAGCCUGAAUCACACAGUGAGGACUCCGGGGUUUGAAUGAGAGUAUUCUGGACAGCGGUGAUGGACGCAACAGUGACGGGCCCUGAGUACGUGCCUCCUCCGCUGGGCGCCCACCUGUCGCCUGUCCUCACGGAGCCCUUCCGACCACCUAGAUCCUGUCUCACUGGGUGAGAGGCACCUGUGAACCUGCUGCCCAGGUCGGGGGUCAGGUGGCCACACCAGACUCUGUGUUCCCCGGAAC
rnacentral:lncRNA from 1 species